UACGUAGGGUGCAAGCGUUAAUCGGAAUUACUGGGCGUAAAGCGUGCGCAGGCGGUUUUGUAAGUCUGUCGUGAAAUCCCCGGGCUCAACCUGGGAAUUGCGAUGGAGACUGCAAGGCUAGAAUCUGGCAGAGGGGGGUAGAAUUCCACGUGUAGCAGUGAAAUGCGUAGAGAUGUGGAGGAACACCGAUGGCGAAGGCAGCCCCCUGGGUCAAGAUUGACGCUCAUGCACGGAAAGCGUGGGGAGCAAACAGGG
rnacentral:rRNA from 1 species